rnacentral:rRNA from 1 species
UACGUAGGUGACCAGCGUUGUCCGGAUUUACUGGGCGUAAAGAGCGCGCAGGCGGUCGUUCAAGUCGAGUGUGAAAGCCCCCGGCUCAACUGGGGAGGGUCACUCGAUACUGAUCGACUUGAAGGCAGGAGAGGGAAGCGGAAUUCCCGGUGUAGUCGUGAAAUGCGUAGAUAUCGGGAGGAACACCAGUGGCGAAGGCGGCUUCCUGGCCUGUUCUUGACGCUGAGGCGCGAAAGCUAGGGGAGCAAACGGG